CGGACGGGUGAGUGAUGCCUAGGAAUCUGCCUGGUAGUGGGGGACAACGUUUCGAAAGGAACGCUAAUACCGCAUACGUCCUACGGGAGAAAGCAGGGGACCUUCGGGCCUUGCGCUAUCAGAUGAGCCUAGGUCGGAUUAGCUAGUUGGUGAGGUAAUGGCUCACCAAGGCGACAUCCGUAACUGGUCUGAGAGGAUGAUCAGUCACACUGGAACUGAGACACGGUCCAGACUCCUACGGGAGGCAGCAGUA
rnacentral:rRNA from 1 species